rnacentral:misc_RNA from 1 species
AAUUCUCAACCUUGAACCAGUUUGCUCUGGUUUCAAGGCUUGGAUGUGAGGGCUUUGCUGGCUUCCUUCAGUGGCGGUCUGCUCCCUUUAAAUGCAUUAGUGGGAUCCUUUGUGGACGGUCACUUGGUGUGAUAAUUUAUCUACGCCUAUCUACCUGAAGCAAAACCUAUGGGAACCCGCUCAUAACCGUCCCUUGUGGACAAUUUUCUGACC